UUAGCUGGAGACGUUUCUCAUACAACUUUAGCGUUAGCAACAGCAAAAUCGGUUUUUGUGGUUCCAAGUUGACCGAAAUUUGACCGUAAAUGGGGAGAUAUAAGUGUGCUUACAACUGCGACACCUCGAGCGAUCCAGACGUAAAGUUUUUUAAGUUUCCCCUGUACAACCCCCGAAAACUUAAAAAAUGGGUACUAAACAUGAAGUGGAGGGACUGGACGCCGACUCGCUUUUCUGUUCUGUGCAUCAAUCACUUUGAGGAGCAGUACAUUGACAAAACGGGCAAAAGUGUGACACUUCGGGAAGAUGCGGUUCCCACCAUAUUUACACCGACUGACAACACACAGAAAAAGAAGGCUGCCAUUAAUCCGAGACGUAAACAACACAAGCAACCUGGUGCUAAAAGCCUAGAGAAGGAUUUGCCUGCAUCUGCAACAUCAGCUCUCCCUGCAACAGAGGACAGUGUCCGGGCCAAAGAACCCAGCCAGACAGAACAAGAGACAUAUGGAGAUCCCAAAAAGUCAGACAAAUGGAGGAUUAUAAUUGAUGAAGCACUGAUGAAGAUCGAUUCAUUUCCACACUUUUUUCAUGGAGAUUACUGUGUACCACAGAGUAUCCACUGGGCUCCAGAUAAUAAUUUCACUCCUGAGGAUAAAGACAAUGAAAACAUAAUAGAGGUGAAGGAGCCAUGGGAGUGGCUUGCUCUGGAUGUCCGAGGACCGCUGCCUCAAACAGUAAACGGACACAAAUACAUUUUGACGGUGACCGACUUCUACUCCAAAUGGGUGGAAGCUGUGCCGAUGACAGCGUGCCUCCCUUCAGAUGUGGCAAAGAACGUCGUGGACAUCAUUGCCCACUUUGGAUAUCCACUGAGAAUCCUCUCCAGAUUGCCUCUUGACAUAGUCCACAAAAUCAACCGAGAACUGAAAGAUCAGCUGAAGGUUGCUGUUGCUCUUGUGGUCUAUCAUCAGCAGACGGGCAUCGCAGAUAUGAUCACACCACAGCUGAUAGACAGGAUGGUGAACGAUCUAAUAGAGGAGCAUGCAGCUGACUGGGAUGUUUACCUGCCUGCUAAAGUGUUCAGUCUGUGCUUCAAAGAGCAUUCAGAGACCAAGCAGAGGCCUUUCUCAGUGCUCUGCUGUAAGGGACUAGAGCCUGUUCAAUUCCCCAGAGAACUGGAUUUUCCACUUUCGAAGAUCCGAGAGAGUGCCUUUGUGGUUAGAUAGAAGUUUAUUCGAUUAUUGAGGUGUUCUUUUAACAAGUGUCAGAAAUCAGUUGAACGACUUCAAAUCCAGCGGUCACUUGAAUUGGAAACAAACUAGAGCUGCUUUAGCAGCAAACCAGGGAAGAAGAAUGUCUUCAGUACUGGAGGUAUUAGUUCUGGUGAAAACCCUGAUGAGUGGACCGGGAUGUUCUAGUACUGAGCUCUGUGGAGAGGAUUUGCUGAUGAAACUGUGCAUUUCAACAGCAUUUUCCACUUUGUCUGUGAUACACUGAGAUGCUCCACCUAUUUUUCAUUCGCAAGUAUUUUUGGAUGUAGUAUUUUAAUUCAGUCUUUUGCUGUAGCACUGCAGCAAAAUGUCUUGCUUAAAAUAUAUAGCAGCAUGUCUGCAGUGUUGAGACUGGAACAAGCUGAAUGUAGGUUAGGAAGGCGAGACAGUUUUCUGAGCCAUAGGAGACUGAUCAGUAUAGCAUUAUUAUUUUUAUGACUUCAAGCAGUUCAGCCACCUCCACUGGUAAAGUUUAGGCUGCUGAUCGUUGAUGUUUUCUGUUUGUAAAAAGGUGAAAGAUGCCAAUAAACUUUAUUUAAAUAUCA